rnacentral:rRNA from 1 species
CCCUUAGAUGUUCUGGGCCGCACGCGUGCUACACUGAGUAAUUCAAUGGGUAAGGGAACGCUAGAGCAUUACCUAAUCUUGAAAUUUGCUCGUGAUGGGGAUCGACGGUUGCAAUUUUCCGUCGUGAACGAGGAAUACCUUGUAGGCGCAUGUCAUCAUCAUGCGCCGAAUACGUCUCUGCCCUUUGUACACACCGCCCGUCGCUCCUACCGAUUGAGUGAUCCGGUGAGGCUCUGGGACCUGGACGGAAAGAGCGUUUCGCUUGUUCUGUUUGGGAAACUUGGUCGAACCUUAUCAUUUAGAGGAAGGAGAAGUCGUAACA